AACGCUGGCGGCGUGCCUAAUACAUGCAAGUCGAGCGAAUGGAUUGAGAGCUUGCUCUCAAGAAGUUAGCGGCGGACGGGUGAGUAACACGUGGGUAACCUGCCCAUAAGACUGGGAUAACUCCGGGAAACCGGGGCUAAUACCGGAUAACAUUUUGAACUGCAUGGUUCGAAAUUGAAAGGCGGCUUCGGCUGUCACUUAUGGAUGGACCCGCGUCGCAUUAGCUAGUUGGUGAGGUAACGGCUCACCAAGGCAACGAUGCGUAGCCGACCUGAGAGGGUGAUCGGCCACACUGGGACUGAGACACGGCCCAGACUCCUACGGGAGGCAGCAGUAGGGAAUCUUCCGCAAUGGACGAAAGUCUGACGGAGCAACGCCGCGUGAGUGAUGAAGGCUUUCGGGUCGUAAAACUCUGUUGUUAGGGAAGAACAAGUGUUAGUUGAAUAAGCUGGCACCUUGACGGUACCUAACCAGAAAGCCACGGCUAACUACGUGCCAGCAGCCGCGGUAAUACGUAGGUGGCAAGCGUUAUCCGGAAUUAUUGGGCGUAAAGCGCGCGCAGGUGGUUUCUUAAGUCUGAUGUGAAAGCCCACGGCUCAACCGUGGAGGGUCAUUGGAAACUGGGAGACUUGAGUGCAGAAGAGGAAAGUGGAAUUCCAUGUGUAGCGGUGAAAUGCGUAGAGAUAUGGAGGAACACCAGUGGCGAAGGCGACUUUCUGGUCUGUAACUGACACUGAGGCGCGAAAGCGUGGGGAGCAAACAAGGAUUAGAUACCCUGGUAGUCCACGCCGUAAACGAUGAGUGCUAAGUGUAGAGGGUUUCCGCCCUUUAGUGCUGAAGU
rnacentral:rRNA from 1 species